UAUUAUAUUUAAUAUAAUAAAUUUUGCUGGGGUAGUAUAUAUAAUUGUUGAAACCCAAAGAAUUUGGCGGUGUUUUAGUCUUUUCAGAGGAAUCUGUCCUGUAAUUGAUAAUACACGAUUAAUUUUACUUAAUUUUGUUAUCAGUUUAUAUACCGCCGUCAUAAGAUUAUUUUUAUUUAAGAAUUGAAAUUUUCUUGCUUUUUGAUUAAAUGAUAUGUCAGGUCAAGGUGUAGCUUAUAGUUAAGUAGUGAUGGAUUACAAUAAUUUAAAUUAUUAUGGAUAAUGAUUUUAAAUUUGAUUUGAAGGUGGAUUUGAUUGUAAAUUUAUUUUUAAUUUUUAUGUUGAUUUGAGCUCUAGAAUGUGUACAUAUCGCCCGUCGCUCUCGUUANUUAAGGUGAG
rnacentral:rRNA from 1 species